GAAAAUUUGGUUCUGGUUUCAAUUUUGAUUUAAAAGUUUCUGCCACAUGCAAGUUAAUAACGAACCAGUUGAACUAUACUAUUUAUUUUCAACCUACUAAUAAAUAGAAAGAUUUUAGUUAAUCUACAAUAUCAUUUAAGUUCAACGGCCAGCAGUGCUUAAAAUUGUUAAUUUAAGAAAUUAAGACACAGAAAACUUUUCUAAUAAUGGUUAAUAACGUGCCAGCCACCGCGGUUAUACGUUAAUUAUAAAUCAAAAAUACCGGUCAAAGAUGAUAAGAUAAAUAAACUAUUUUUGAUUAAUUUACCCAGCAGUAACAAGCUUAAUCCUAAUAAUUCAAAAAUUAAAUCCUGAAUCGAAGAAAUUAGGGAAUAAACAGGGAUUAGAUACCCCCCUAUACCUUAUAGUAAUCUUUUUCACCAGAGUAAUACGCCCAAACAGGUAAAACUUUAAGAACUUGGCGGUUUUUUAGACCUAAUCGGAGGAGCUUGUUGUUAAAUUGAUACCCCACAAGGAACCUUACCUUCCCUAGAAUCACAGCUUGUAUACCAUCGUCGCUAGCUAACCUUCAAAGAACAAAAGCUUUAUGAAUUAUUUAUUCACAACAUCAGAUCAAGGUGCAGCUUAUGGGAAGAGGAAUUAAUGAGCUACUUUACCAAUUAAGUCAGAGGAUAUAAAGAUUUAAAAUUUAUAGAAAAAGGAUUCGAUAGUAACUUACUACAGAAAAAGAAAGUGAAAACAGCUCUAAAAUACGCACAUAUCGCCCGUCACUCUCGUCACAUGAGGAGAAAAGUCGUAACACAGUAGGUCCACCUGAAGGUGGACCUGGAAAUU
rnacentral:ncRNA from 1 species